GAACUGCGAUAAGUAAUGUGAAUUGCAGAAUUCAGUGAAUCAUCGAGUCUUUGAACGCACAUUGCGCCCCCUGGCAUUCCGGGGGGCAUGCCUGUCCGAGCGUCAUUGCUGCCCUUCAAGCCCGGCUUGUGUGUUGGGUCGUCGUCACCUCCGGGGGACGGGCCCGAAAGGCAGCGGCGGCACCGCGUCCGGUCCUCGAGCGUAUGGGGCUUUGUCACCCGCUCGAUAAGGACCGGCCGGGCGCCAGCCGGCGUCUCCAACCUUUUUUUCUCAGGUUGACCUCGGAUCAGGUAGGGAUACCCGCUGAACUUAAGC
rnacentral:misc_RNA from 1 species